CUAAUAUGUUUUCAGAAUUGAAGAAUAUUGGAGCUGGGAUAGAUUUCUGCAGCUUUCUUAAGAUUGAAAUGAGAAUUUCGUUUCGAAAGCGAGGUGGUUUUAUUAUUUUCAGGAUAUGGAUACCUUCUGGGUAUGUUGUUAUGAGUGGAGAGGAUCGGUACGGGAAGGCUGGUACAGGCGCACCUGAGUAUACUCCAAAGAUCUCAUUAGUCUGUGAUGAGCAUCGUCAUCCAGCACAGACCCAAGAGGUCGAUCGAUUUGCUACACUUUCCAGUUGAAUCAGUGGAAUUCCAGCUUUGCAGCUCUGGUGAUUAAGCGGUGGGAUUACAUGCGACUCGACUGUCAGGGAAGCCACACCCCCUCAGCUCAUGCGUCCCACUCUGAUUAAAUGGAAUUGAUUUAAUUGGGUUACCCCACUGAGAGUUCUGGCUAAUGGGAUGUGGAGAUUUUUGAUCAUUGGUACGCAGCUUUGACCCGGCGCAAGUGAAGCGGUGCGGCUUUUUAGUUUGUGGUCAGUGUCUCGUGUGUUUGAAGAUUAAACCCGCCCACCGGCAGUCAAGAUUUUGUCUUAAUCUCUAAUUAGAAUUUGAUCAGCAGGAAUCUGUGGCAACCUUUUCUCAGGAUUGUAGAUUCUGCCACAUCAUUAUCAUUGUGUAUUUUGUAUUCAGUGUGUAUUUGAAAAAUGUCAUUAUUAAUGUGCUUCUGUGGAAUACAAAAUGAAGUCUCAUACACUCUAUUCCAAGUCUUCUGAAGCUAUAUGAUAACUCUGUGAGAGGAACAGACUGAAAUUUGACUGAAACUUAUUGUUCUCAGUAGCUUUGGAGCCUCUGUUCACC
rnacentral:lncRNA from 1 species